CUCUGUCUUUGUUUCUGCAGGAUUGGUGAUAUUGUUUUUCAACUGUUUCCUUAGUCAAAAUUUACAAUUCCUUUUUUGAACCAGAAAAAAAAAAUUCACUCUACUUGGAAAACGUUUCUGACAUUUUCUUCUGCAAAAAAUCAGAGAAAGUGGCUGAGAGAUGAACAAUGAUGUGACCUGACCUGCCGAUUUAGAGGGCACCCCAGCACCUCACGCCUUCUUUCUUCAUCCCUUACAACAACUGUCAUCACUGAUAAUUUUGAAUCUACUGAGACAAAAAACUAUGCCAGAAGAAAACUUGAAAGAUUUCACUGCUAUGGAAUUACUCUCUAAAAAUGGUAUACAACAGCUGAGUCUAAGAGUGUUGGGCUAUGUUGACCAAUAAAAAGAGAUUAGAGUCAAAUUACUAAAAUUGGAAAUGAAAUUGGGGACAUUAUUGCUAACCUUACAGAAAUAAAGAUUAAAAGAGAAUGUGAACAAGUAUAUGUGGAAAAACUAGAUAAGCUAGCAGAAAUGGACAGAUUCCUAGAAAGACAUGAGCUACCAAAACUGACUCAGGAAGAAAUAGAAAAUCUAAAAGACCCAUCAAAAGUCAAGGGGUUCAAUAAAUACUAAUACUAAUGCUACUAAUAAUAUCAUCCCCCCAAACAAAGAAAAGCACAGGAUAAGAUGGUUUCCCUGGUGAAUUCCACUAAUCAUUAAAGAGGAAUCAAUACCAAUCCUUCCGAGAAAGAGGAGAGAACUUCCUAAUACAUACUGCAAAGCCAGCUUUAUCCCAACACCAAAUCCAAAGACAUCAAGAGAAAAGGAAACUGUAGGUGGCUAUCUCUUAUGAACAUUGCCUGACCUAUAUGCUAAAUAAUCAUAUAUUUAUCAUUGAAAAAUAGGGAUACUGCAAAUUAACACUUUUCAUUAAUUAUUAUUUAAUAAGCAUUGUUUUCAAUAUUUGAUAUUGGAGCCAACCCAGUAACUAUGAGUAAUCAGCUAAGGUAUGUCAAUCUUUUCAAAGAGCCAACUUUUGGGUUCAUUAGCUUUAUUGUUUUUAUAUUCUCUACUUUAAUCUUUAUUAUUUCCCUCCCUUGAGUUGCCUUACAUUUAGUUUGCUCUUUUUAUUCUACUCCUGUGAGGUGAAGACUUUCUUUCUAUUUAAUAUUGGCAUUUACAGCUAUAAAUUCCCUUCUAAGCACUGUUUUCACUGUGUCUUAGAAGUAUUAGUAUGUUGUGGUUUUGUUUUUAUUGAUUCAAAGUAUUUUAUAAUUUUUUCCAUUUCCCUGGUGAUUUCUUGACACAAUGGUUAGGAGGAUUUGUUUAAUUUCCACAUAUUUGUGAAUUUUCCAGUUUUCUUCCUGCUAUUGGUUCCUGGUUUUAUUCCACCAUGGUCAGAGAAGAUACUUUGAAUGAUUUAAAUUUUUGAAAUCCAUUGAGACUUGUUUUGUGGCCCAACAUGUGGCCUAUCUUGGAGAAUGUUCCAUUGAGGAGAACGUGCAGUAGUAGGGUGGAAUGUUCUGUCUGUGAGGUCUUACCUUAGUCCAGUUUUUAUUGCUAUACCUAAAUACCACAGACUGAGUAAUUUAAAAGGAAAAGAAGUUUAUCAGGCUCAUAGUUCUGAAGGCUGGGAAGUUCAGGAUGAGGUGGCUGCAUCUAUUGAGAUCCUUCUGCAGAGUCCUGAGGUAGCACAAGUCAUUACCACAUGGAAAGAAGGACUGAGUGCCAGCUCAGGUCUCUUCCUAUAAAACCAUAGCCAUUGGACUAUACCCACAACCUUCUGGCCUCAUUCAACCUUAAUUACCUUCCAAAGGUCCCAACUCAAAUCCUACAGUCAAAUUAAAUUUCUAUCCUCUUAAUUAAUAUUGCAUAAUGGGGAUUAAAUUUGAACAUGAGUUUACAGGUCUACUAGGUUUAUAAUGUUUAAAUUCUCUAUUUCCUCACUGAUUUUUCCAUCUAGUUGUUUCAUGCAUUAUUGAAAGUGGGGGCAUUGAAAUCUCCAACUAUUAUUGUAGAACUGUCUUAUUCUUUCAACUCUGUCAGUAUUUGCUUUAUAUAUUUUGAGAUUCUGUUGUUAGGUACAUAUAUGUUUAUAAAUGAUGUAUUUACUGGAAGAAUUGGCCCUCUUAUGAAUGUAUUAUGUUCUUCUUAUCUCUUGUAAUAAUUUUUUACUUAAAGUCUGAUUCUCAUAUUAGUAGAGCUAUCUUAGCUCUAUUAUGGUUACUAUUUG
rnacentral:lncRNA from 1 species